rnacentral:misc_RNA from 1 species
UGAGACAAUGGAUAGAGUACCCUUGUGAUGCUCCUGCCGUCGUGCGGUGUAACCCAUCUCCUGCAAGAACUUAUGUUGCACCGACAACGCCCGCACCUCCUCCCCCCACUACUCCAGCUCCAGUAGUGGUCCAGCCGCGAGACUUCUCGUGCCCACAGCCGCAGGGCUACUUCCGGACAUCUACUGGUUGUGAACAAUAUGUUGAAUGCAAGAAUAGCGUUCCACGGACGUUCUCCUGCCCUCGUGGUCUUUACUUCAACCCACAAGUGCAAUGGACGCAGUACCCCUGCGAUCAGACUUCAAAGGCGAUAUGUGACGAACCUUUAGAGAUUGAGGCUACACCAGAACCUGAACCAGCGACUACACCAGCACCAGCACCUGCACCAAUAUGCCAACCUGUGGCAUCAUGCUUAGGCCCUGCACCAACGUGCCAACCUGUGGCACCAUGCUCUGCCCCUGCACCGCCACCACCAUGCACUCAAUGUUACUAAUAAAAACGGCGCUGAACUAAAUGCUACGAAUUCCGCUUACUGCGUUAAUGAUGGCUACAAGUUCUACCGCUACGAGAUACUGCGCAGCAGAUGACAACGUUUACUGCUAUGGAAAAACUAGCUAGAUCAAUUAUAUACAAACAAAAUUGUACUUUUAUUAUAUUUAUUAGGUGAAGGUGUAAAAAAUAAAUUAUUAUUUAAA